GGCAACCGGCGAACGGGUGCGUAACACGUGAGCAACCUGCCUUUGUGUGGGGGAUAGCCGGGCUAACGCCCGGGUAAUACCGCAUACGGUCACCGGGAGGAGUCUCUUGGUGAAGAAACCUCCGGGGCACGAAGAGGGGCUCGCGGCCUAUCAGCUAGUUGGUGGGGUAAUGGCCCACCAAGGCGACGACGGGUAGCUGGUCUGAGAGGAUGGCCAGCCACAUUGGGACUGAGAGACGGCCCAGACUCCUACGGGAGGCAGCAGUGGGGAAUCUUGCGCAAUGGCCGAAAGGCUGACGCAGCGACGCCGCGUGUGGGAGGACGCCUUUCGGGGUGUAAACCACUGUUGCCCGGGACGAACAUCCCUUUUCGAGGGGACUGACGGUACCGGGUGAGGAAGCACCGGCUAACUCCGUGCCAGCAGCCGCGGUAAUACGGAGGGUGCGAGCGUUGUCCGGAAUCAUUGGGCGUAAAGGGCGCGUAGGUGGCGGGACAAGCGUGCGGUGAAAGCCUGGGGCUCAACCCCGGGUCGGCCGUGCGAACUGUUUUGCUUGAGCACUG
rnacentral:rRNA from 1 species